UACGUAGGGUGCAAGCGUUGUCCGGAAUUAUUGGGCGUAAAGAGCUCGUAGGCGGUUUGUCGCGUCUGCUGUGAAAACUCGGGGCUUAACCCCGGGCCUGCAGUGGGUACGGGCAGACUUGAGUUCGGUAGGGGAGACUGGAAUUCCUGGUGUAGCGGUGAAAUGCGCAGAUAUCAGGAGGAACACCGGUGGCGAAGGCGGGUCUCUGGGCCGAUACUGACGCUGAGGAGCGAAAGCGUGGGGAGCGAACAGG
rnacentral:rRNA from 1 species